GGCGAGUGAAGUGGGAAAAGCUCAACUUUGAAAUCUGGUACUUUCAGUAUCCGAAUUGUAGUCUCAAGAAGUGUUUUCUGUGCCGGUCCAUGUAUGAGUCUGUUGGAACACAGCGUCAUAGAGGGUGACAACCCCGUUCAUGACAUGGAUCCCGGUGCUUUGUGAUACACUCUCGAAGAGUCGAGUUGUUUGGGAAUGCAGCUCAAAUUGGGUGGUAAAUUCCAUCUAAAGCUAAAUAUUGGCGAGAGACCGAUAGCAAACAAGUACCGUGAGGGAAAGAUGAAAAGCACUUUGGAAAGAGAGUUAACAGUACGUGAAAUUGUUGAAAGGGAAACGAUUGAAGUCAGACGUGCGUGAUGCGGUUCAGCUUUAGUUCGCUAGAGUGUACUCCGUAUCUUUGCAGGCCAGCAUCGGUUUUGUUAGUCGGAUAAAGGUUUGAGAAAUGUGGCAUCUUCGGAUGUGUUAUAGUCUCAGACUGAAUACGAUUGAUGGGACCGAGGAACGCAGCGCGCCGCAAGGCAAAGGUUCCGACCUUUUCGCGCUUAGGAUGCUGGUGAAAUGGCUUUAAACGACCCGUCUUG
rnacentral:rRNA from 1 species